rnacentral:rRNA from 1 species
GACGAACGCUGGCGGCGUGCUUAACACCUGCAAGUCGAACGGAAAGGCCCUGCUUUUGUGGGGUGCUCGAGUGGCGUACGGGUGAGUAACACGUGAGUAACCUGCCCUUGACUUUGGGAUAACUUCAGGAAACUGGGGCUAAUACCGGAUAGGAGCUCCUGCUGCAUGGUGGGGGUUGGAAAGUUUCGGCGGUUGGGGAUGGACUCGCGGCUUAUCAGCUUGUUGGUGGGGUAGUGGCUUACCAAGGCUUUGACGGGUAGCCGGCCUGAGAGGGUGACCGGCCACAUUGGGACUGAGAUACGGCCCAGACUCCUACGGGAGGCAGCAGUGGGGAAUAUUGCACAAUGGGCGGAAGCCUGAUGCAGCAACGCCGCGUGCGGGAUGACGGCCUUCGGGUUGUAAACCGCUUUCGCCUGUGACGAAGCGUGAGUGACGGUAAUGGGUAAAGAAGCACCGGCUAACUACGUG